UACGAAGGGGGGCUAGCGUUGCUCGGAAUCACUGGGCGUAAAGCGCACGUAGGCGGAUCUUUAAGUCAGGGGUGAAAUCCCAAGGCUCAACCUUGGAACUGCCUUUGAUACUGGGGAUCUCGAGUCCGGAAGAGGUGAGUGGAACUGCGGAGUGUAGAGGUGAAAUUCGUAGAUAUUCGCAAGAACACCAGUGGCGAAGGCGGCUCACUGGUCCGGUACUGACGCUGAGGUGCGAAAGCGUGGGGAGCAAACAGG
rnacentral:rRNA from 1 species